AAUGUCGUAACAAGGUCUCCGUUGGUGAACCAGCGGAGGGAUCAUUGCUGGAACGCGCCCCAGGCGCACCCAGAAACCCUUUGUGAACUUAUACCUUACUGUUGCCUCGGCGAGGCCGGCCCCCCGGAGGGGGGCCCCCUUCGGAACGAGGGAGCAGGCCCGGCCCGGCGGCCCAAAGUCAACCCUUGUUUUUUGACACUGAUACUCUGAGAAACAAACACAAUUGAUCAAAAU
rnacentral:misc_RNA from 1 species